rnacentral:rRNA from 1 species
AGACGCGGGCAGUUCUGCUAAUUACAAUCUAGUGUGUGUGUUAACUCAUUCAUACUAAGUAAACCUUGAAGAAAUAUUGACGCUUAAAAUUUGACUUAAGUCAAAGUUCUUUUUGCAUGGGAUUUUGGAAUAUGAGUGGUGGAGUAAAAUCCGCUGCUAAUGACAUUCGAGGAUGAAAGAGGAAGUUAAUAUUUGUGAGUCAGAGGUGAAAUUCUUGGAUUUCUCAAAGAUUAACUAAUGCGAAGGCAUUCUUCAAUUGCUUUCCUGUCAAUCAAGAACGAAAGUAAGGGGAUCGAAGACGAUCAGAUACCGUCGUAGUCUUUACAGUAAAUUUUGCCGACAAAGGAAACGGGAAAGACCUAGAAUGCGCCGGGCAACUGGUACAUUUAAUAUCCUCCUGUUUUCUCCCACGAAAGUUUAAGUCUUUGGGUUCUGGGGGGAGUAUGUUCGCAAGGCCGAAACUUAAAGGAAUUGACGGAAAGGCACCACCAGGCGUGGAGCCUGCGGCUUAAUUUGACCCAACACGGGAAAACUUACCAGGUCCAAACAGCGUGAGGAUUGACAGAUUGAGAGCUCUUUCAUGAUUCGUUGGGUGGUGGUGCAUGGCCGUUCUUAGUUGGUGGUGCGAGCUGUCUGGUUGAUUCCGUUAACGAACGAGACCUUUGUGAGAUAAUAGUUGAAUCAAGAUAUUGCGUCAAGGCUGGAGCUCACGUAUUGGGGAAGGAUCCGUUCCUCCCUUUACUCUGGGUUUCAGUUGCAAUCUAGAUUACAACUUCUUUCUCAGACAAAUGAAAAAAAUUCAUUGGAAGUUGGAGGCAAAAACAGGUCUGUGAUGCCCUUCGAUGUUCUGGGCUGCACGCGCGCUACAAUGACAAAGUCAACAAGUUUUUUCCUUGCUUGAAAGGGCUGGGUAAUCUCUAAAACUUUGUCGUAAUAAGGAUCGCUGAUUGAAACUAUUCGGCGUGAAUCAGGAAUGCCUUGUAAUUAUAAGUCAUCAGCUUAUAGUGAAUACGUCCCUGCCUUUUGUACACACCGCCCGUCGCUCCUACCAAUUGGUAUAAACGGUGAAAAGUUCGGAGACAACUUUCGUUCAGAGUCAAAUCUGAUGUUAGAUACCAAAGUUCUUUAAAUCUUUUGUACUAGAGGAAGGAGAAGUCGUAACAAGGUUUCCGUAGGUGAACCUGCGGAAG